rnacentral:rRNA from 1 species
AUUCCGGUUGAUCCUGCCGGAGGACAUUGCUAUUGGGAUUCGAUUUAGCCAUGCUAGUCGAACGAGUUCAGACUCGUGGCGAAUAGCUCAGUAACACGUGGCCAAGCUCCCCUUCAGUCAGCGAUACCCUCGGGAAACUGAGGUUAACAGCUGAUACAAAACGCCAGCUGGAAUGCGGCGUUUCAGAAAGACAUCGCUGAAGGAUGCGGCUGCGGCCGAUUAGGUAGACGGUGGGGUAACGGCCCACCGUGCCAGUAAUCGGUACGGGUGAUGAGAGUCAGAGCCCGGAGACGGAAUCUGAGACAAGAUUCCGGGCCCUACGGGGCGCAGCAGGCGCGAAACCUUUACACUGCACGGAAGUGCGAUAGGGGAAUCCCAAGUGCGAGGGCAUAUUAGCCCUCGCUUUUCUCGACUGUAAGGUGGUCGACGAAUAAGAGCUGGGCAAGACCGGUGCCAGCCGCCGCGGUAAUACCGGCAGCUCAAGUGAUGUCCCAUAUUAUUGGGCCUAAAGCGUCCGUAGCUG